AUGGUAAAUUAUCUCAGCUGCUGCCUGUCUCCCUGUGGGGAAAGCAGCCAGAGGGGGGAGGAAAGGGGGGAAAAGGCUGCAGAGCUGCCCCUAGCUUGGACCCGCAGUGCUCUUAUGGAGGUGUGUGCUGUCUCCUCUUCCAGGCAGCAGCGCUCAAUGGAGCGGGGAGAUGGGAGCCCUCGUGAAUCUUCAGCUCGGAGCAAUGAAGGCACCCAGUGUACCGGGACGGCAGCGCCAGAGCUGCCAUGAGCAAUGGGCAAGACAGGACCUGGUUUAGGUCAAGCCGGGCACCCGUCUGCAGACAGGAGAGAUGAAAAUGAGCUCUCGUCUUCUGCGGAGGAGAAGUUCCCGGGGAGAGCUGGAGGAAAAGCGAGGGGAAAUUAAGCAGAAAUAGCUUCGGGGUCAUUUAAAAAUAUCCCCACGGCUCCCUUACAUAUAUAUUUAGCAAGAAUUCAUCGUCCAUGGCUGAGGGAGCUCUAGGCACCGAAUGUUCGGAACGGCCUUUGAUGAAGACCCAUGGGAUCCUGCAUGGCUUGGAAGGGAGAGAGGUCGGGGGGAUGGAGGGGGCAGGUGAGGGCUGCAGGGUAGCUCCCAGCCCCCUACCCCCCACUGUGCCCACCCACG
rnacentral:lncRNA from 1 species